rnacentral:rRNA from 1 species
CGGCGAGUGAAGCGGCAAAGCUCAAAUUUGAAAUCUGGCUCUUUCAGAGUCCGAGUUGUAAUUUGAAGAAGGUAUCUUUGGGUCUGGCUCUUGUCUAUGUUUCUUGGAACAGAACGUCACAGAGGGUGAGAAUCCCGUGCGAUGAGAUGAUCCAGGCCUAUGUAAAGUUCCUUCGAAGAGUCGAGUUGUUUGGGAAUGCAGCUCUAAGUGGGUGGUAAAUUCCAUCUAAAGCUAAAUAUUGGCGAGAGACCGAUAGCGAACAAGUACAGUGAUGGAAAGAUGAAAAGAACUUUGAAAAGAGAGUGAAAAAGUACGUGAAAUUGUUGAAAGGGAAGGGCUUGAGAUCAGACUUGGUAUUUUGUAUGUUACUUCUUCGGGGGUGGCCUCUACAGUUUAUCGGGCCAGCAUCAGUUUGGGCGGUAGGAGAAUUGCGUUGGAAUGUGGCACGGCUUCGGUUGUGUGUUAUAGCCUUCGUCGAUACUGCCAGCCUAGACUGAGGACUGCGGUUUAUACCUAGGAUGUUGGCAUAAUGAUCUUAAGUCGCCCGUCUUGAAACACGGACCA